GACUUUUCUUGACCUAGUUAUAUCACCUUGAUCAGAUUGUAGAUCAUACAACCAUCCUCUUUAUAGAGAUGUCCUGUCCCAUUAUUUAAAGGAAAGCUGAGCAGAGAGAUCAGAAAAAAUGCUGAAGUGGACAGAUCUUGUGAGGCAUUUCUGUCUUUUUCCCUCAAUGCCCCUGGGCAGAUGGAAGACUCAGUUAUGAAAGACAGAACAAGGUUUAAAGUAAAUAUCAAACAAGAAGACAAAAAUUGUUGUAAGGAAUGAC
rnacentral:lncRNA from 1 species